rnacentral:rRNA from 1 species
GUCCACGCCGUAACGAUGAGUGCUAGGUAUCAGGGCUUUGACCCUCCUGGUGCCGCAGCUAACGCAAUAAGCACUCCGCCUGGGAGUACGGCCGCAAGGCUAAAACUCAAAGGAAUUGACGGGGCCCGCACAAGCGGUGGAGCAUGUGGUUUAAUUCGACGCAACGCGCAGAACCUUACCUGGGCUAGAAAAUACAGGAAUUCGGGUGAAAACUCGAGGUGCCCUUCGGGGAACCUGUAGUUAGGUGCUGCAUGGCUGUCGU